rnacentral:lncRNA from 1 species
GAGAAGAUUGGAAAGAGUCAAACAUUUCUCCUUGCUGCUUCAGUGAUUUUCAGAAGCUCGGCAAAAUCUGUGGUUGUUUCAUUUACUAAGGGAGACCCUCCACUAGAACCAGCAAAAGCAGUAGACUUGAGGAAAAUACAGAACUUCCCAGUGAUGCUGGUGUAAGUACCAUGAGAAGAAAGAAAAUAAACAACAGUAAAUUGCUU